UACGUAGGGCGCAAGCGUUAUCCGGAAUUAUUGGGCGUAAAGAGCUCGUAGGCGGUUUGUCGCGUCUGCCGUGAAAGUCCGGGGCUCAACUCCGGAUCUGCGGUGGGUACGGGCAGACUAGAGUGAUGUAGGGGAGACUGGAAUUCCUGGUGUAGCGGUGAAAUGCGCAGAUAUCAGGAGGAACACCGGUGGCGAAGGCGGUUCUCUGGGCAUGACCUGACGCUGGGGAGCGAAAGUGUGGGGAGCGAACAGG
rnacentral:rRNA from 1 species